GAGUUGGGCAAGUCCGAAAAGUCACAGUACAAUCCCUGAGCUGUGGGUGGAAAAAAAGGAAGAACAGAGGAAAGAGAUGUGACCGACUGUUCCAAACAAUGAGACAAAGAUGACUCUGCUGGCCUUCCAAUCACUGUCUUAAAGUCAGCCAAAUGGAACACAGCUCCUAGGAUAGAUGAUCUUCAAGGUUAGAAACACGCUAACAAAUCUGCGUGUCAUAAAUAAUAUUGCAUUUACAGAGAGACUUGAAAAAGGAAGAUGUGAGUGAUGUAUUGUGUGGAGCUUCCAUACAUC
rnacentral:lncRNA from 12 species